GAAAUGCGAUACGUAGUGUGAAUUGCAGAAUUCCGUGAACCAUCGAAUCUUUGAACGCAUAUUGCGCUCGACUCCUCGGAGAAGAGCAUGUCUGCCUCAGCGUCGGUUUACACCCUCACCCCUCUUCCUCUUCGGAGGGAGCUUGUCGUGCUUGCUCAAGCCGGCAUCAGGGGUGGAUCUGGCCCUCCCAAUCGGACUCACCUCUGGUUGGGUUGGCUGAAGCACAGAGGCUUAAACUGGGACCCGAUUCGGGCUCAACUGGAUAGGUAGCAACACCCUUUGUGGUGCCUACACGAAGUUGUGUCUGAGGACCUGGUUAGGAGCCAAGCAGGAAACGUGCCUUUGGCGCGUAACUCUGUAUUCGACCUGAGCUCAGGCAAGGCUACCCGCUGAACUUAA
rnacentral:misc_RNA from 1 species